CUGCCAUGGUUCUUCUCCUCCUGUCACGACAACCUCCUUAGGCACCCAGGAAAUAGCUGCUGAACAGACCUUAGAAGCUGCCUCCCCGGGAAAAGGAACUUGCUGAAGUCCCGAAACAGCAGUAGCAAUGGACAAUUUGGUCCGGAGCUGAGAGGUCACAGAGGUGGCCUCAGGAAGCCACACAGCCCUGGACAUCCUGGACAGCUGUGAAGAAGGACCUCAGCCAUCUUCACAGCCAGGCCCCUGGGGGAAUUGUUACCCGCACACCCACCUGCAAACUCUCUCCACAAUUUUCAUUUACAGCAGCCCAGAGUCAGUUGGGGAAACACACCCUCUACAAAGGAGUGAUUCAGACAACCUGAUCCCAGUUUCUGGCUUCUCUCUGCUCGGCCCUUCACACUCUCCCCAUCACAGCAAGAUUUA